UGACCCCAGCUCAUGCGAGAACACCCGCUGAGUUUAAGCAUAUAAUUAAGUGAAGGAAAAGAAACUUACAAGGAUUCCCCUAGUAAUGGCGAGGGAACUGGGAAGAGCCCAACAUGAAAAUUGGGUGGCAGUGUUGCCUGAAUUGUAGUCUGUAGAAGCAUCCUUAGCGGUGGACCGGGCCCAAGUCCCCUGGAAGGGGGUGCCUAAGAGGGUGAUAGCCCCAUCGGGCCAGGACCCUGCCGCACCACGAGGCGUUGUCGGUGAGUCGGGUUGUUUGGGAAUGCAGCCCUAAUCGGGUGGUAAGUUAUGUCUAAGGCUAAAUACGGGUGAGAGACCAAUAGAGAACAAGUACCGCAAGGGAAAUAUGAAAAGGAAUUUGAAAAGAGAGUUAAACAGUGCUUGAAAUUUCCAGGAGGGAAGCGGAUGGAGGUCGACGAUGCGUCUCGGUCGGAUGUUGAAUGACUCAAGCUGGUCCGUCGCUCGACUUGAGGUGCGAACCAGCGCAAGCCAUUCCAUCGGCACAACCGUAGGUGGAGUACUGCCUAUUGGUUUUCCAUUGUGGUAGUCGAGGAACGAAGCGUGUGCCCUUGGGACGGGCCACUGUGCACCUGCACUCUCAUGGUGUUGGUUGGCAGGCUUUCCAUUCGAACCGUCUUGAAACAUGGACCAAGGAGUCUAACAUGUGUGCGAGUCGGUGGGUUUGUAAACCUCCGAGGUGUAAGGAAGAUGACGGGCAAGAACCCCUCUCCAUGGGGUGUAUUGUUCACCGAACUUGAGCUUAUGCGAAGGGUUUGAGUGCGAGCACACCUGUUAGGACCCGAAAGAUGGUGAACUAUGCCUGAGUAGGGCGAAGCCAGAGGAAACUCUGGUGGAGGCUCAUAGUGAUAUUGACGUGCAAAUCAUUCGUCUAACUUGGGUAUAGGGGUGAAAGACUAAUUGAACCAUCUAGUAUCUGGUUUCCUCUGAAGUUUCCCUCAGGAUAGCUGGAGCUCAUGUGCAAGUUUUAUCGGGUAAAGCAAAUGAUUAGAGGCAUCAGGGGCGUAACGCCCUCAACCUAUUCUCAAAAUUUAAAUAGGUAAGAUAGCACGGCUGCUCCAUUGAUUCGUGCCAUGGAAUCGAGAGCUCCAAGUGGGCCAUUUUUGGUAAGAAGAACCGGCGAUGCGGGAUGAACCGAAAGUCGAGUUACGGUGCCAAAUUGCGCACUAACCUAGAUCCCACAAAGGGUGUUGGUUGAUUAAGACAGUAGGACGGUGGUCAUGGAAGUCGAAAUCCACUAAGGAGUGUGUAACAACUCACCUACCGAAUCAACUAGCCCCAAAAAUGGAUGGCGCUAAAGCAUGUGACCUAUACUCGACCGUCGAAGUAAUUGCUAGGCUUCGAUGAGUAGGAGGAUGCGGGGGUCAUUGAGAAACUUUGGGCGUGAGCCUGGGUGGACCGGUCCCUGGUGCAGAUCUUUGUGGUAGUAGAAAAUAUUCAAAUGAGAACUUUGAAGACUGAAUUGGGG
rnacentral:ncRNA from 1 species